AAGGACUUGCAUAUGGUGUUCAUUGACUUGAAGAAGGCCUAUGAUAAGAUACCGCGGAAUGUCAUGUGGUGGGCCUUGGAGAAACGCAAAGUCCCAGCAAAGUACAUUACCCUCAUCAAGGACAUGUACAAUAAUGUUGUGACAAGUGUUCGAACAAGUGAUGUCGACACCGAUGACUUCCCGAUUAAGAUAGGACUGCAUCAGGGGUCAGCUUUGAGCCCUUAUCUUUUUGCAUUGGUGAUGGAUGAGGUCACAAGGGGUAUACAAGGAGAUAUCCCAUGGUGUAUGCUCUUUGCGGAUGAUGUGGUGCUAGUUGACGAUAGUCGGACGGGGGUAAAUAGGAAGUUAGAGUUAUGGAGACAAACCUUGGAAUCGAAAGGGUUUAGGCUUAGUAGAACUAAAACCGAGUACAUGAUGUGCGGUUUCAGUACUACUAGCUGUGAGGAGGAGGAGGUUAGCCUUGAUGGCCAGGUGGUACCUCGGAAGGACACCUUUUGGUAUUUGGGGUCAAUGUUGCAGGAGGAUGGGGGUAUUGAUGAAGAUGUGAACCAUCGAAUCAAAGCCGGAUGGAUGAAGUGGCGCCAAGCUUCUGGCAUUCUCUGUGACAAGAGAGUGCCACAAAAGCUAAAAGGCAAGUUCUACAGGACGGCGGUUCGACCCGCAAUGUUGUAUGGCGCGGAGUGUUGGCCGACUAAAAGGCGACAUGUUCAACAGUUAGGUGUGGCGGAGAUGCGUAUGUUGAGAUGGAUGUGUGGC
rnacentral:rRNA from 1 species